rnacentral:rRNA from 1 species
GUGCCAGCAGCCGCGGUAAUACAGAGGGUGCAAGCGUUGCUCGGAUUUACUGGGCGUAAAGCGUACGCAGACGGCGACGUCGGUCGGGUGUGAAAGCCCCGGGCUCAACCCGGGAACUGCACUCGAAACCUCGUUGCUCGAGUGUGGGAGAGGGUAGUGGAAUUCCUGGUGUAGAGGUGAAAUUCGUAGAUAUCAGGAGGAACACCGGCGGCGAAGGCGGCUACCUGGUCCACAACUGACGUUCAGGUACGAAAGCGUGGGGAGCAAACAGGAUUAGAUACCCUGGUAGUCCACGCUGUAAACGAUGUGUGCUGGAUGUCGGGGGUAUUCACCCCCUCGGUAUCGAAGCCAACGCGCUAAGCACACCGCCUGGGGAGUACGGCCGCAAGGUUGAA